rnacentral:rRNA from 1 species
AUGGCUUAGUGCUCGAAAGAGAGCCAUAACACAGGUGCUGCAUGGCUGUCGUCAGCUCGGUGUCGUGAGAUGUUGGGUUAAGUCCCGCAACGAGCGCAACCCUUGUCAUUAGUUGCUACAUUUAGUUGGGCACUCUAAUGAGACUGCCGGUGACAAACCGGAGGAAGGUGGGGAUGACGUCAAGUCCUCAUGGCCCUUAUAGGUGGGGCUACACACGUCAUACAAUGGCUGGUACAGAGGGUUGCCAACCCGCAAGGGGGAGCUAAUCCCAUAAAGCCAGUCGUAGUCCGGAUCGCAGUCUGCAACUCGACUGCGUGAAGUCGGAAUCGCUAGUAAUCGCGGAUCAGCAUGUCGCGGUGAAUACGUUCCCGGGUCUUGUACACACCGCCCGUCACACCAUGGGAGCGGGUUCUGCCAGAAGUAGUUAGCCUAACCGCAAGGAGGGCGAUUACCACGGCAGGGUUCGUGACUGGGGUG